rnacentral:rRNA from 1 species
GGUGAGUAACACAUGGAUAACCUACCUAUAAGACUGGGAUAACUUCGGGAAACCGGAGCUAAUACCGGAUAAUAUAUUGAACCGCAUGGUUCAACAGUGAAAGACGGUUUUGCUGUCACUUAUAGAUGGAUCCGCGCCGCAUUAGCUAGUUGGUAAGGUAACGGCUUACCAAGGCAACGAUGCGUAGCCGACCUGAGAGGGUGAUCGGCCACACUGGAACUGAGACACGGUCCAG